rnacentral:rRNA from 1 species
GACGAACGCUGGCGGCGUGCUUAACACAUGCAAGUCGAACGGAAAGGCCCUGCUUUUGUGGGGUGCUCGAGUGGCGAACGGGUGAGUAACACGUAAGUAACCUGCCCUUGACUUUGGGAUAACUUCAGGAAACUGGGGCUAAUACCGGAUAGGAGCUCCUGCUGCAUGGUGGGGGUUGGAAAGUUUCGGCGGUUGGGGAUGGACUCGCGGCUUAUCAGCUUGUUGGUGGGGUAGUGGCUUACCAAGGCUUUGACGGGUAGCCGGCCUGAGAGGGUGACCGGCCACAUUGGGACUGAGAUACGGCCCAGACUCCUACGGGAGGCAGCAGUGGGGAAUAUUGCACAAUGGGCGGAAGCCUGAUGCAGCAACGCCGCGUGCGGGAUGACGGCCUUCGGGUUGUAAACCGCUUUCGCCUGUGACGAAGCGUGAAUGACGGUAAUGGGUAAAGAAGCACCGGCUAACUACGUG